GUGGGGAAUAUUGCGCAAUGGGGGAAACCCUGACGCAGCGACGCCGUGUGAGGGAAGAAGGCUUUCGGGUCGUAAACCUCUGUCAGGAAGGAAGAACCUCUCAAGGCUGAACAAGCCUUGGGACUGACGGUACUUCCAGAGGAAGCACCGGCUAACUCCGUGCCAGCAGCCGCGGUAAUACGGAGGGUGCAAGCGUUAAUCGGAAUCACUGGGCGUAAAGCGCGCGUAGGCGGCUUUCUAAGUCGGACGUGAAAGCCCUCGGCUCAACCGGGGAAUUGCGUUCGAAACUGGAUGGCUUGAGUCCUGGAGAGGGUGGCGGAAUUCCGGGUGUAGGAGUGAAAUCCGUAGAUAUCCGGAGGAACACCGGUGGCGAAGGCGGCCACCUGGACAGGUACUGACGCUGAGGCGCGAAAGCGUGGGGAGCAAACAGGAUUAGAUACCCGAGUAGUCC
rnacentral:rRNA from 1 species